UGGGGAAUAUUGCACAAUGGGCGCAAGCCUGAUGCAGCCAUGCCGCGUGUGUGAAGAAGGCCUUCGGGUUGUAAAGCACUUUCAGCGAGGAGGAAGGUGGUGAGCUUAAUACGCUCAUCAAUUGACGUUACUCGCAGAAGAAGCACCGGCUAACUCCGUGCCAGCAGCCGCGGUAAUACGGAGGGUGCAAGCGUUAAUCGGAAUUACUGGGCGUAAAGCGCACGCAGGCGGUUUGUUAAGUCAGAUGUGAAAUCCCCGGGCUCAACCUGGGAACUGCAUUUGAAACUGGCAAGCUAGAGUCUCGUAGAGGGGGGUAGAAUUCCAGGUGUAGCGGUGAAAUGCGUAGAGAUCUGGAGGAAUACCGGUGGCGAAGGCGGCCCCCCUGGACGAAGACUGACGCUCAGGUGCGAAAGCGUGGGGCAGCAAACAGGAUUAGAUACCCUGGUAGUCCACGCUGUAAACGAUGUCGAUUUGGAGGUUGUGCCCUUGAGGCGUGGCUUCCGGAGCUAACGCGUUAAAUCGACCGCCUGGGGAGUACGGCCGCAAGGUUAAAACUUAAAUGAAUUGCGGGUCUAGCUGUUCC
rnacentral:rRNA from 1 species